rnacentral:rRNA from 1 species
GACGAACGCUGGCGGCGUGCCUAACACAUGCAAGUCGAGCGAAGUUAUUCCUUCGGGAAUAACUUAGCGGCGGACGGGUGAGUAACACGUGGGUAACCUGCCUUAUAGAGGGGGAUAGCCUUCCGAAAGGAAGAUUGAUACCGCAUAACAUUGAGCUUUCGCAUGGAAGCUUAAUCAAAGGAGUAAUCCGCUAUAAGAUGGACCCGCGGCGCAUUAGCUAGUUGGUGAGGUAACGGCUCACCAAGGCGACGAUGCGUAGCCGACCUGAGAGGGUGAUCGGCCACAUUGGGACUGAGACACGGCCCAGACUCCUACGGGAGGCAGCAGUGGGGAAUAUUGCACAAUGGGGGAAACCCUGAUGCAGCAACGCCGCGUGAGUGAUGAAGGCCUUCGGGUUGUAAAGCUCUGUCUUUGGGGACGAUAAUGACGGUACCCAAGGAGGAAGCCACGGCUAACUACGUGCCAGCCGCCGCCGUAAAAC